UUCUGAACUACAAUCUUGCUUUCUCCCAUUGAGCAGCAGCAAAAUGUCUUUUAUCAUUUGAGGCAUUAAAUAACUCCAGGGAAAGAGAGCUCCAUGGAAAGAACACCACCCUGCCCUCCUACUAUUCACUAUGGUUUGAUUCCAGGAUACCUUUUUCAACGAAGGCUGCUCUGAAAGCAGUGCCUCCAGUUUUAUUCUGUCGACCCACGAUGUCAGAGGCGGAUGUUAGUGGGAUGGAAGUAGAGGUUGAACCCUCUCACCAGCAUUCCAUUACAUGUUGUUGCUGGUUGUUGCUGUGGGACAGAUGGCAGAAGAGGGGCACUCUGACAAAAUGGCAUCUGGUUUGGAAAUACGUAUGAAGCACAGGUGUGUCAUUGAAUUCCUCCAUGCAGAAAAAAUGGCACCCAAUGACAUUCACUGAUGUAUGCUGAAUGCUUAUAGAGACCAAACAGUGGAUGUGAGCACAGUGAGACGGUGGGUGGCGCGCUUCAGCAGUAGUCACAGCGACACGAAAGACAAGGUAUUUUUUGGAUGGCCAUGAAGAUUUUUAUGAACAUGGCAUGCAGUCUCUUGUUCAUCAUUGGCAAAAUUCGUAGCUAAUGGUGAUGACUAUGUUGAAAUAUAGAAUUUUGUAGCUGAGAAUUUGUUCUAUCAAAUAGUGUUAUUGUACUUUUUGUAGAUGUUGUGUUUUCCAUGGAAAUAAAUAAAAGGCAUUACUUUUGGAGUGACUUAGGGACAUAAAAGUUAUUUAUUUCAUAAUUAAAUGUCCACUUAUUCUGGGAAGCCAAUGCCAUGCAACAUCUUUUUGUUGACAAUCCUAUCCAUUUCUAUUUUAGCAAGGAGAUUGCAGUUCAGGAGGGAAGGUUUCUAGAUCACCAUUUCAUUUUAUGCGGACUUUAUUUUUAUUCCUUACAACCCGAAAAAUUAUGCAAGUAGUUCUAUUUGAAAACUGUUAACAGAAAGUUGGGAGUUACAAGUCACUCUGAAAAUGUAAGGAUGUCUUUAGUGGGUGAAGUGCAAGGACCUUCAGGGUACAGAACAAUCACAAAAUUCAUGUUCCAAUGGAGCUUGCCACUGCUUUCUUAUUAAUUCCAGGAGGAUCAAGAUUGCGUGCCUUUUCAACAUUGAUAUUCAAUACUCAUGAUAACAUUUUCUGAGUACUGCCACUGUUCAAAGGAUGAAAAUUAGAUAGAAGUUUGUUUACUCCCGUUUAUGAGUACAGGUGGUCUUGUAGUAUUACUUUUUUCUUCUUCUUUUUCCUAGCAAAUGUGCCUUGGGAUAUACACUACGAGAAAGCAUGCAUUAGUAUCUGUUUAGAAUGCCACACUUGAGAGCUGUGAGAACACAGAACCAUUGGCAAAUUAUGUAAUGCUGUGGCAUUAUAGAAUCUUUCCAUUUUCACUUUUGGCCGUUCGUCAUCAUAAUGUCCAGAGCCUUCUUGGUGUUUUAUAUUUCCUUAGAAAGGCAUGCAAUUCUCAGUAAGAGUAAUGGAAGAGACAGUGAUCUGGCAAAAAGAAAAUGCAAAGACAAGGAAAACCCUCCAUAGGAAGAUUGUGUUAGAAAGUUGGGAAGAUUAGUUGUUAUCAUUAAAAUAAUCAUGCUUCCUCUACUUAUAAUAUGAGCAAAACCAAGCUAACUUGAAAGUGAAGUAUGAUGACAAAUAGAAAAUGGGAUUUUCUGAACUGUUCCCUAUGGUCAGAGUGAGAAGUUUUGAUAAUUCUGAAUAAUUUCUAGUGGAUGCUAAAAUAAACAUAAAUGCAGUAGUAAAUGCACUGACUUGCCUUCCAACCAUAUUUACACCCAUGUUUUUGUAAGCGAUUACAGAUUUUGUGUACCAACAUGAAACAUUUUUUUUGUUCGUUUUGGAGAGUGAAUGUUAAAUGUCAGUCUGAUAUCAGCAGAAAAAAAAAUGAGUAUGAUAAGAUACGGCACCCAAAAUUCUCCCUUGUAUCUGAAAACCUUGAUCUGAACAAAUAGUUGCAGCUUAGCCUGUGCUCAGGUGGUUUUGUCUGGGGGUUUCUCCUACUAAAAAGUGCGUGAUAUC
rnacentral:lncRNA from 1 species